rnacentral:rRNA from 1 species
GACGUAGGGCGCGAGCGUUGUCCGGAUUUAUUGGGCGUAAAGCGCGUGUAGGCGGCUUUGCAAGUCGGGUGUGAAAGCCCUCGACUCAACCGAGGAAGUGCGCCCGAAACUGCAGAGCUUGAGUACCGGAGAGGAUGGCGGAAUUCCCCAAGUAGAGGUGAAAUUCGUAGAUAUGGGGAGGAACACCGGUGGCGAAGGCGGCCAUCUGGACGGAUACUGACGCUGAGACGCGAAAGCGUGGGGAGCAAACAGG